AAAUGCAGUUGGGACUGUUGUUCAGUGACUAGCUAUUUGAUUAGGCCCUGUAGUCAUAUUUAAUCCAGACCCUUGGGGAGCAUAGACAAAAUUACAUCUUCAUCUCAUCAAACAUUCAGCCAUAUUUAAGCAUUCAGCUGAUCAAGCUUUUAUUGUUUCUCUUGCAGCUACACAGACACAAUGAUGUCCUGUGUUCUUCACUCCAUAACCCUGCAAAGCUAAGCCUAAACUUGCUGCGUUCCUUUUUUUUCCCUCUUUUUUUAAUUCUCAGGGACAGGGAGUACAGUGCAGCUCUAAUACCCUGCUCUGGCUACAGUGCCAUGGUUAGAUAUUCACAUCGGCUUUGCCACACUUGUUUGUUUCUCUUUUCAGCUUUAUUCUUUUUUUUUUUUCUUUUUUUUCUUUUUUUUCUUUUUCUUUUGUGCCAGCUACUCAGAGCUCUGGUCGUUUGCUAGGACAGGUCUAAAUCAUUAAACUGCAAACUGUUCUUUUUCUGUUAAGCAGCAGGUAUCAUUUUUGUCCUGACAAGAGGAGGCUCCACCUGCCGACUGCCCACCAACGCAUCCAGCUGUCUGCUUUGCAGAACAGGCAAGCUUGUUUUCAGAAUUUGAAAAACGGAGAUACAAAGGGAGCUGUGGCAGCUGAAUUCCCUUUCAUGUGUGUCCAGUCCAGGUGAAGCCCAGCAUAAUGUACUGUAAUAUGUCUCUUCAGUUCUCUGAUACAAUGACCUGUGCAUCCUCUAAAUCCCCCACAGAAUGCGCAGACACAGACUGAUUGAGAACUUCCUGUGAGGGAGAUUACAGAUUCAUCAAGGAAGAGUCCUUCAUGCAAAUACCAUCUGCUCCAGGACUCAGCUUUACGGAGGGUGAGAGGACUCUUUGCUAACACACAAAAGACUGAGGUGGAGAAACCUACCCAAGAAGGCUGAGAUAAAGAGACAGCUCUCAUAGCUGGAACUAUAAUAGCCCAUCUUCUGCAGUCGUGUUGGUACGCUGGUGUACCUGUGUCGGUGGGUAAA